rnacentral:rRNA from 1 species
AUUGAACGCUGGCGGCAUGCCUUACACAUGCAAGUCGAACGGCAGCCCGGGAGCUUGCUCCUGGGUGGCGAGUGGCGAACGGGUGAGUAAUACAUCGGAACGUACCCUGAAGUGGGGGAUAACGUAGCGAAAGUUACGCUAAUACCGCAUAUUCUGUGAGCAGGAAAGAGGGGGAUCGCAAGACCUCUUGCUUUAGGAGCGGCCGAUGUCGGAUUAGCUCGUUGGUGAGGUAAAGGCUCACCAAGGCGACGAUCCGUAGCGGGUCUGAGAGGAUGAUCCGCCACACUGGGACUGAGACACGGCCCAGACUCCUACGGGAGGCAGCAGUGGGAAUUUUGGACAAUGGCGCAAGCCUGAUCCAGCCAUGCCGCGUGAGUGAAG